GUGUCAGCCGCCGCGGUAAUACGUAGGGUGCGAGCGUUGUCCGGAAUUAUUGGGCGUAAAGAGCUCGUAGGCGGCCUGUCGCGUCGGAUGUGAAAGCCCGGGGCUCAACCCCGGGUCUGCAUUCGAUACGGGCAGGCUGGAGUGUGGUAGGGGAGAUCGGAAUUCCUGGUGUAGCGGUGAAAUGCGCAGAUAUCAGGAGGAACACCGGUGGCGAAGGCGGAUCUCUGGGCCAUUACUGACGCUGAGGAGCGAAAGCGUGGGGAGCGAACAGGAUUAGAUACCCGGGUAGUCC
rnacentral:rRNA from 1 species